UACGUAGGUGGCAAGCGUUGUCCGGAUUUACUGGGCGUAAAGAGCGCGCAGGCGGUCGUUCAAGUCGCGUGUGAAAGCCCCCGGCUCAACUGGGGAGGGUCACGUGAUACUGAUCGACUCGAAGGCAGGAGAGGGUAGUGGAAUUCCCGGUGUAGUGGUGAAAUGCGUAGAUAUCGGGAGGAACACCAGUGGCGAAGGCGACUACCUGGCCUGUUUCUUGACGCUGAGGCGCGAAAGCUAGGGGAGCAAACGGG
rnacentral:rRNA from 1 species